rnacentral:rRNA from 1 species
GGUUAAGUCCCGCAACGAGCGCAACCCUCGCCUUUAGUUGCCAGCAUUUAGUUGGGUACUCUAAAGGAACCGCCGGUGAUAAGCCGGAGGAAGGUGGGGAUGACGUCAAGUCCUCAUGGCCCUUACGCGUUGGGCUACACACGUGCUACAAUGGCGACUACAGUGGGCAGCGACCUCGCGAGGGGAAGCUAAUCUCCAAAAGUCGUCUCAGUUCGGAUCGUUCUCUGCAACUCGAGAGCGUGAAGGCGGAAUCGCUAGUAAUCGCGGAUCAGCAUGCCGCGGUGAAUACGUUCCCAGGCCUUGUACACACCGCCCGUCACACCAUGGGAGUUGGUUUCACCCGAAGGCUGUGCGCUAACCGCAAGGAGGCAGCAGACCACGGUGGGAUCAGCGACUGGGGUGAAGUCGUAACAAGGUAGCCGUAGGGGAACCUGCGGCUGGAUCACCUCCUUUCUGCGGC